AAGACAUAAUUGCACUGUGGGUGCCUUUGUGAUUUUUUUAAGUACCUUCUGUGAACAAGGAGAAAUGCAGACAUGUUGGCAAAGCUGAUCAUUUUCAUUGUGGAUCUCAUGCUUGCUUUAGCCAUUUUUGUUAUCCUAUAUGCUGUUUACUUCAUAGCAGUCACAGGUAUUUUUAUCUUAGUCCUUCUCUAUGUUUUCAAAACGGGGAUGGAAAAAAGCUGUGACAUCAACAAGGGCAGAAUCUGGGUACUGGAUUCUUCUAACCAUGCUUCUGGGAAGCCAUUUGCAGGCAAUAUAGAGAAAGUCUGCUCCGGAAGGGUUCCUGUUCAUUUUCCAGCCUCAAGAGAAAGGGCUUUCUUGUCCAAAGAAAGUGGUUAUUUCUCGUAAAAAGUGAUGAGCUCUCUGGAGCAAGGAGACCCAUGGGAAGAUUUGCUGGAACACUGGACCCAACCAACUGAAAGGUCAAACUACCAUCUACACAUGAAUAGCAAUGAAGUUCUCAUAAAUGAGCAGAAAUACCCAGGAGGCAUGAAGAGUUGGAAUGAUUCAAAAACUCAUCUAUUAUGACAUUACAACCUCAGAAAAGAUACAUUUUAUAACUCUAAAAACUCAAUUGUGGAAAGGAUAAACAAGCCAUUUGAUGGCAGAGUACUAAAACUUGUUGAAAUGCCUUUGGAGCUUUAACUGUACAGAGUCACCAAAAUGUUUCACAAAUUUAAUUUAAAAAUAUUCCUUCAAAACUGCCUUAGCCAAGCAGAGCAUUUUUGCCAUUGCCUCUGCUGUUCUCAUUGUGGUCCAGGAGAAGCCUCAUCCCUCACUACCGCAAUGAGAAACAGUACGAAGGCUCUAUCUUACAGCUUUGACUGUAUGUGAUUUCUCUCUCCAUCAUAACACCUUGUCAAAGCUUGCCACACUUACUACAUUCUGCAUUUUACUUGCUUUAGUUAUUUGUAAAGUUUUCCCUAUUUCAUCCUCAAAUUAUCUCUAAAUUCCAGCAAUUUCUCCUCAGCUGCUUUGUAUUCUCAAUAGUGCUUUUCCAAAUGCCAUGAAUAUUAUUAAAUAUUUUUCUGAGUCAAUCAACCCACCAAACCUGAAUGCACAGGUAUAAAUGCUGUAAAUUUCAAAGAAAGGUGAAAAUGAAUGGAGGACCAUCAGCAGAGGAAUGAGCUUAUCAGAAUUCUCAAAAUUCAACAAGAAGGUCCAGAAGUUAGGGUCUUAAGUGUUUGUUCAUAUUUUUACAAAUGGUUAGUUCCUUAAGAGUAGCUAAUCAGCAGCAAAAUUCCAGUUUUUCAGACAUUCACACUCUCGUUCAUGGGAGAACAAGAUGAGACCACGACAGCAACAGAAGAGCUACUGGGCUGGAAAGGUCUGUGAAGAGCCAUUGGAAACGGAGAAACAAAGUAACCUUGAUAUUCUGGGAUGUGGAACUAAGCUGUACUUGGUUCCCUAGAGAACUGGGCUGGGCAUAGCAUAUGUGUGCAGAAAGUUUACUUUGGGCACUUCAUCCCCAAACUACUGGAAGACAUUGAAUUGUCAAGCUAAACACCAUGGGCAGUUUUGGCUCAAUCCUCCAGGGGGCGCUCUAAAAAGCUGCAUAGAAUACACCUCAAAGUUGUCCACCAGAAGGAUAAACAAGAAAUUAUCCAUCAGCUUUCUUCUCCCUUUGGUCAAGAAUUUUUCUGCAGGGUGUUCAUGACCUUGAACUUCUAGGAUUGUAUCUAUCUAAUCCAUGCUUCAGAACAGUUGAAUGAUUUCCAGAAGGCAUCUUAAGAGAUGGCAAAAGAGAAGCUCCAGGACAGAAAGCAAGAGAUUGGUGUUGCCAGGUGAUGGAAGGUGCUGCCAGUCAUCAAACUGGCUACUGUAAGCAGGUGGGCCAAAGGAGGUCAUCUGGGGCACAAGAGAAUGAUUGAGACCAUUCUCUUAGCAGUACAUGAACCAAAUGCAAGUCUGUCUGCUCUGGAAAUAAUGAGCACAGGAUCAUAUCCAUCCCUUUUGGAUAGAGAAAGGGGCACUCAGACCAAGGGGCAGCCAGAAAGAGACACAAAUUGGAGAUCAGAAGACACCAGGGCCUCGGGGGCAUUGCCCUUGCUAAGAACCAAACUCCACCUUCCCUCUGCUUCAAACAGAGACCAACACCUGGGUGGGAGUUUUUCUUCCUAUUCAUGUUUUUGGUAUUUGGUUACUACUCAUUUUAAUUUGCCAGCCCUGACAAAACAAUGCCAUCUGCUAGCUACUUCUUAUCUGCAUAUAAAUUGUUUUAUCUCUUUAGGUGAUCUGAGUUUUGUGAAUUUUAUGGAAACCUCUCAGGUUUUAAUACUUGCAGCCCUAGUUAGAGUUUCUCCAAAAGCUGACCCUGAGGCAAGGGCAUGGUAUAAGUAGUUUAUUUGGGUGGUGACCCCAGGAAGUGCUGCAAGGGAGUGGGGAGUAAAGCAGGGAAGGAAAGGCAGUGUGUGUACAUGAGCAUAUUUCGGUCUUUCUAUUAACGUGUGCCACUGAGUGACUGGAGCUGGGUGUCUAUGCACAGGCUCCAGUUCCUCACUAAUUGAAGGUUCCUCCAGAGCACAAACCUAUGGUACUUCCAGGUUGCCCUGCAUACAGACAGAGAAGCAAGCAGAUAGGUGUGGCUGGUUGAGGUAGAGGGGAUGGGUAUACAUAGGGCUGUAGUGAAUCCAGAGAUUGGCCAAGGACAUAUAGAUUGGAGCAUCGUGGUUUCUACUGUGCACCCUGAGAUAGUUUUGCACAGGUCAAAAUGUCCAAACACAGAGAAAAAUUAGAGCGAAAACCUCCUUCUGGUAUGUAGGUGGAAUGAAGAAUAUUUAAUUAGUAAAGUGUUAGAGGCAACUAAAAUAGCUUUGAAACUGAGAUUAUUUGUUAAAAUUUGCAGACAAAAACUUCAAAAUGGAUUAGAGCCCCUUAAUGAAAAUCCCAUUGGCUGUGGCUGAAGAACAAAUUAGGAAAGAAACCAACAUGCUUAUUGCUCUACCCUAUAAACAAAGGCCCUCCCCAAACUGUUAAGUAACUGCUCUGCUCUGUUCCUGUAUGAACACAUGGAAACCAUUGGGGAUUUUUUGAUUCUCUGGUAUUAGUCAUUGUUCUGGACUGUCACUGAGGUGGAGUCAUUCAAAGAGGAGAAGGGUUGUGACCCUUUUUUUCCUUACCCAGUGUUUUCUGACAGAAGAACAAUGACAAUUUAUGAAAAUUUGACUUAAAUGAAGUUGAUUUCACAAGGCACAGAAGGCUGAACAGAACAUAGAAGAAAAGCUAGAAAGAAAAUAGUGUCAAUGGCUUCAUAGAUGAAAAACUCACAAUUCUUUAUUUUCUUCUAAUGAAAUUAUAAAUACACCCUUCUGCCAUGACAUUAGGGUUGACUGAGUGAACAGCUUGGUUUCUGGGCUUGGCCACGUAACUUGUUUAAACAAAGUUAGCAGACAUCGCAUUAACCUGAAUGUUGCACUUGUCUUCUUGGCAAUUGUGAUCCUCUAUGAAGAGGACACAUCCCAAGUAACUGCUCUUCUUCGGCUUCAGCUUAGGCUGCAGAAUGAAAUGUGGAGCCAACUUGAAUGCAGACCCAGACAGGUGUUUCUGUUUUGGGACAGAGCACCUGAAGCAGAGCUGCUUAGCCAAGCCUGUUCUAGAUGAGACCCCAAGCGUGAGGACAAAAUGCUUACUGUUGUGUAAACUACUGAAUUUGCAGACAUCAGUGUUUCCACUUUCUGAGUGGAGAACCAGCCAAGCCCCAGCUGUCUGGAAUCUGCAUUCCCAGAUAAACCUGCCCAGUGCAUCAAGAGACAACAUGGAGAAGCAGCCUCCUGUUAAUUCCUGAUUUCUAGACACUCUACAGAAGCCUCAACUUCUGGCUUUCACACAUAAAUUAAAUUUAUUUUCUUACAACCUCUCAUAUAAAUCCCACCCCAAUUCUUACCUAGCCUUUCUCCAAGGAAGCUCCCUGGACCAGGUCUGAAUCCGCCUCUAAUUAUUUGUGACUAUAUUGCUUAUGUUUUUCCUCAUUAUGCUGUUCUUAGAAUGAGGAAGGGGUUCCCAUUUCCUGGGCAACCAGAAGCAGCACAAACACUGUCUAAUGAUGUCACCCCACCUCUAGGUUUUCUAUUAUGCUUUUGGAUCCUGUGGUUUGACCUUUUUGUUGUAGACUCUGUCCAGCAGAGUCCGCCUGUUUUGUGGUUGAUGAGGAGAAUCAAUGCACAAGCGAGAACAAUCUUGUGUGGAAAGAGGGAACAGGCAGGACUACUCUCUCAAGGGGAGAGUGCUAAUGCUGCCUUGGCCACUCCCUCAAGAGGGAAGUGGUCCCUUACACCUUUUUGUGGUCAAAAGGAUGCAAUCUUUUCUCCAGUUCUGCCUCUUUUCUUGUUUUGUGGCUGUCUCUUCUGUGUGCAGCUGGUCUAAUUUCUCUUGGAUUUAUUAGCUUAACUUCUCUUAUUUCCACCACCUAACACCAAUGAUUUUAUUUUCCUUAGUCAGAUUCUUUAUUUGAAUUGCUCUGAUUAUGAUUGCCAGCUCAAUAUUUUGCUCUCCUUUUAGACAUCUUUCUAAAAUGUUAUAGUCGCCAUAAAAACAAACCUAUUCGUGAACCUUCCUUGUCUGUUCUGCUUGUCUCCUUCCUUUCUUCUCUUGUUCCGGUUUCCUACUGUGAUACAAGGCCAGUAGAAAAAUGAUGCUCUCUGUUACUGUAAAUCCUAAUACUAAGAUACAUAAAAUAUUAUCUGCCAAAAAUCUUUUCCUAAAGUAGUUUUUCUUAACUUUCGCUGCAUGUUGUAGUUUAAAAAAAAAACAACACUCAUACUUGGGUCCCACCCGGAGAGAUUUUGAAUGGCCUGGGGUGCAGUGUGGCAGUAUAUUUUAAAAACCUUCUAAUGUGCAGCCAAAGUUGGGAAACAUGAAAGAGCUUUUCAACCAGGCCUUCUGAUUUUUUUUAUUCCUUGGCAUUUAUGAUGAUAAAUGAGAAAUAACUCCUUCCUUUAAGGCCUUAUGCUAGUCUUUGGUCGAUUUUUCUCUCCAUUCUUCUUCUUCCCUUGUUCUGGGCUGAUCCCAUAUACUGUUCCCAGGCUGGGACCAGCUGGCAUGUCGGCUGAUUUCCAAUGAAUUUUAGCUAUGAGGAGGCCCUUCCAGGAUCCUAGAGUACUAUGGACAGAAUGUUUGCUUCCUCCCAAGUUCAUAUAUAGAAGCCCUAAUCCUCAAUGUGAUACUAUUUGGAGGCAGGGUCUUUGGGAAGCAAUUGUCAUGAGGGUGGAGCCCAGGUGGGUAGAAUUAGGGUCCUUAUAAAAAGAGCAGGAGAGAGAUGAGCUUUCUCUCUGCCAUGAGAGGAAAUAGCAAGAAGGAAGCCAAGAAGAGAGCUCUCGCCAGUAUCCAAAUAGGCUAACAUCAAGAGCUUUAAUUUCCCAGCCUGCAGAACUAUGAGGAUGAAUUAUUCUGAAAGCCAACCAGUCUGUGGAUCUUGUUAUAGCAACCCACACGGAUGUGGAGGGUGGGAGAAAGGGAGAAGCCAGGGCGUUUCUCCCGUCCUUUCUACCUGUGUGGUGCCUCUAGCUGUUCCCUCUGCAUUUCCCGCUCCUGACAUGCCAGAGAGUGAGACAGACUCACUGCUUUCAAUUUCCUGGGUAUGAUCUGGCCCAUGGAAUUUGUUAAUACACGCUCUUUCCUUAACAGCCAAGGCAUGUAAGGGGUUUCCUACUGUUACUAAAAUCUAGGGUGUCUCACUAUCCCAUUUGUCAUCUUAUUCACUCAUUAACUAUGCAAAAAAUUCCCAGUAAAUUUUCCCCUGUGUUAAAUGCUAUGAAUGGAUUCUGUUUUCCUGGUUGGUCCCAGCUUGAUAUAGUUCUUAGUCUACUGUCUAGUUUCCCAGAUGUAGCAUCCCUGAUGUUCGUUCCACUAGAGCCUACUCUGUCCCUAAGGGGGUAGGGGCGGGUGGGGUGAUAAGAUGUACGUUAUACAUACCAUCUUAGGGAGAUAGGAGGAUGUCCCUUGUGACAAUGUACAUCACACAUUAACCCAAUAUCUGUUGCUCAGUUACCACUUUAACAUAGGAUAUAUUUAACAUAAGAGUGAUAUCCCUUUCCAGCAAAAUACAACUACACUGCUAAUAUUACUUGCUGAAGUAUGCCGCACCCAGAUCUCAGAAAGAGUUCUCUAAACUCCUGUUAUACCAAGUAUGAUUUGUGAACCAGGUGCAUAACAUCACCUGAGAGCUUUAAGAAAAUGAGAAUUCUGGGCCACGCUCCAAUCUUGCAUUUUUAUAAUUCACAUGCCAUCAAAUUUAACCAUUUAAAGCGUACGAUUCAGUCUAUGGCCAUACCACCCUGAACAUGCCCAAUCUCGUCUGAAGUGUACAAUCAUCAACACUAUCUGAUUCCAGACUAUCUUCAUCACUCCAAAAAUUUCCAGUCAUAAAACCAGUAAUGGAAGGUGUAAGAUAUAGGGAAUGUAGUCAAUAAUAUUGUAACCACUAUGUAUAGUGUCAGAUAGAAAGUACACUUAUUGGGAUGGUCACUUUGUAAGCUAAUACAGGUCUCAUCACUCUUGUACACCUGCAACUAAUAAAAUACUAUCUGCCAAAUGUAAUUGAGAAGGGAAAAAAGAAAUCCUGGACCCAUGAGCAGUCACUUUUCAUUCCCCCCUCCCUGACCCUUAGACAACUACUAACCUGCUGUCAACAUGGAUUUGCCUAUUCUGAUCAUUUUAUGUAAGAAGAAUCCUAUAAGAUUUGAUUUCUGUGUCUGACUUCUUUCACUGAAAAUAAAUUUUGCAUGAUAUUUCUA